UUCAAGGCUCCAGGCUCUCGUUGCGCCGGUUGUAACUUUUGCUGUUUUUGGAUCUACAAUAUACAGCGGAAUUUUUGGAGGGUUAGCUGUUUCUCAGCCAUUCUCCGUUGAAAUUUUCAAGUAUGUAGUUGCAAUUAUCGCGCCACAACUUCUAUUUUUUCUUCUGUUCAGGUAUCCUGCUCUGACAUCACAAACGGCGACAAACAUUGGCACUCAACUUUACUACAAUGAAUCCUGGUUACUAUUGUGAGGCAAAUCCGUUCCCAUCCUAGAAUUGAUUAUGAUGAGAACCAACAAAAGAAUCAAAUUCCGAAUCCUUAAGUUUUGGGUUCUUUCACAUGAAAGUUUUUUAAAGUAUCUAGAAAACCUUUAUGCGAUUGUCGUCAUCAUUCGAUCCGUAACCAGGUCUCACAAAGCGAUAGCAAUGUCAAGCUAGACACAGACUCGAUGCCUCACCGACACCGAUGACGCCAUCAACAACAUUACCGUUGAACCGGCAGGUUUGACCUAACCCGAGCUCGGCAGGAGUGCAAAAGUUCGUUUUUGAGCUCCAGAAACUUUAGAUAGAAAAUUCCUGGAUGAAUCAAUGCGUCGAACAAUUCGCAAGAGCAUUGACAUAAUAUUUGCUCUGACAUGAUUACUCUUCUUCAAUACAAAUAAUCUUCCCUGACAAUAAAAAAUUAAUUUAGUCAUUAUCAAUAAUAAGUUUAAUUUUUAAUUAAUCUUUAUUAAUUUUUUGAAAGUACACAUAGUGAUGCCACUGAUUUUGUCUCAAAUCAAUUCUCAAGCUCGAAAAAAAGCACACAAAGGUAAGUCCAUAAUGGCGAUAAAGAUAUUGUGUUAGUAUAAAAGAGUCCACCUGUAUAUAGAGUCUAAUUCUUUCGUGCAAGGAUCGAAAUCAUUCUCAUUAGCAGAGUCAACACAAUCCUGGCCUAAAAAAAACUACUUGAUAUGUCCCCAUCUUCACGUAAGUUGGCAAGCUUGGCAAAAACAUAA